GUUAGGUGAGUGCUCUACCACUGUGCCACAACCACAGGCCCAUCUAUUUCUUAUUCACACAGAUAUACCAUAAUUUUAAUGCAUAUUUUAAUCUGCAAUUCUAAAAAUAUGAACAAUUCAGAUCUUUAAUAAACCUUACACAUGGGGUUUAAGUCCAUUAUAAUUUCUUCUGUCAUGAGAAACAUGUCUGCACUGAAGGUUUUCUUUUUUCUUUUUUUCCCAGUUCUGGGGACUGAACUCAGGAACACUACCACUGAACUACAUCCCCAGCUCUUUUUAUUUUUGGAUGUGGUCUCACUAAGUUGCUGAGACUGAUCUUGAACUUGUGAUCCUCUUGUCUCAGCAUCCUGAGUAUCUGAGAUUACAGGCAGGUACCACCACACCCUGCCUGCCCUGAAGAUUUUCUAUGUUUAUCUGAAAAAAAUUUUUUGAAUAUAUGUAGUGACAAUCUCUUUCCUGAGUUAACUCCUAACUCAUGCUUUAGCAGUCAGGGGAUUCACAUAAGCUAAAUGCAUUUCUCACAGAUUCUCUUAGCUAAGAAACUACCUCCUUAUUCUUUACUCCUAAUCUCAAUUGAAACAUUAUUUCCUUCAUUCAAACAACUAUAUAUCAAGCACUGGCUAUUUACCAGGCAUAGGUGAGAUUUCAGAGAUUCACCAGUAGGGCAUGCUUGGUGUGGCUGAACAGAAAUCAAGUUUGGCAUGGCUGGUAUAGAGUGAGAAUUUUGGGGAAAAUGUUUGGAAAAGUCGUCAAAGAGGCAGUCAAGAGCCAAAUCAUAUAGCAUGGGUAGGCAUUAUAAGAACUUUAGCUGUGAAUCAGUAGGGAAAACAUUGGGGAUUCUAAACAGAGAAGUAACAUGAUCUGAAUUAUUCCCAUUUAAGAUGAUCAAAUUGAACAUUAUGAGGAAUAUUUUAGUCUGUUGACUAAAGGAAGGUUUGUACCAGAAUGAUCUAAGGGAAUUGUUAAGAAGUGGUUGGGUUCUAGAUCUAUUUUGCUGAAAGACUCACACAUUAACUACAUUUAAUAGGGACUAUGAGAAGUCAGAGAUGACCAAAUUUAAUGGCUUGAGCAAUUAAUUACUAAAAUGGAGUUGUUAUUUACUGAGAUAGAACUAUGAGUGGAAGAAAAAUUUGGAGGCAAAGGUAGGAAAUUGAAUUCAAUUUUAGUGAUGUUAAGUUUGAGAUACUUAGUGGAUAACUGUGUAGAAUGGGAUGCAAUUGGAUAUACAGUGCCAGGAUUCAGUAAAAAGUUAAGGCCAGAGAUAAAUUCAGGAGCUACCUGAAUAUAGCUGUCAUUUACAGUUAGGAGUUAGGUGACAUCACUUAGUAGGUAUAGGGAGAGAAGAAAAGAGAAUUAAGGACUGGGUCCUGGGACACCUCAGCCUCAGACACUUCAAUAAUAGAAAAAAUGAAAAACUACAGACAAGAAACUUUGAAGGGGUCUAGAGAAGUAUGAGGAGAGCCAAGAAAAAGGGUUUUCUGGAAGCCAAGACGAGAUUUAAGAAUGAAGGAGAGUUCAACUCUGUCAAAUGCCAGUGUUAGUACUGAAAAGUGACUACUGGACUUAUGGAAAUCAUUGGUAGUUUUAUCAAGAACAAUGUCCAUGGAAUGUUGGGCAAGAAAUUCCUAUGGGUAUGCAUUUAAGAAGAAAAAAUGGGAAGGAAAAGGGUAGACAGUGAAUAAGAAUAACUUCCAUGGAGUUUUGCUACAAGAGAACAGAGAUAUCCAAGUUUUCCUAGAUUUCCAUUUGUGCUGACCAUCAAUCCAG
rnacentral:lncRNA from 1 species